CCGUGAUCGUGGUCUGCAGCA
rnacentral:siRNA from 1 species